CGUCCACCGCACAAAGAGCACUUUUGUCCUGCCGGGCCUAAGUGCUGUGUUUCCUCCGAGGCACAGGGCUGAAGGAUUCGCUGUGGGAGCGGAUGACAGAUGACCGAUUUCUAGGCCAAAAAAACAAGCGUUUUGUAAUGAAGACAACGAUCUGGACAAGUCUUGGGAAGCUGAAGGCCAAACUCAAGCUUUUGAGGAUUUGUUAUAUAUAUAUAUAUUGGAAAUUAAUACAGUAACUUUAAUAAACAACUACAUCCAAGUCAACUUCUUUCAUCACCAUGUCUCAUGGAGCAGAAAUGCAGUAAGGUUUAGCUCUGGAUUCAUCACCACCUAAAGGAAACAAUGCGGCGGUGCUUUAGUCCUUUAAUCUGUCCGGGACCCUCAUCUCCUCGGCUAAAAUUUCCACAGCUUCACCUUUCAUCUCAGUACCAUCAUCAUCAUCUCGAGCCAAGUUUAUCCUGUAACACCUCAUCAUAUAACUGCAAUGCAUUCUGGGACUUCUGAGUGGCAUCGUUAUUUCCCAUACUUUCUCAUUAAUACAACAUUGAUAAAAGGUCUCUACAAAUUCUAUUAAUGUCCUCCUGCAACGUCAAAGAAUCACACAACCAGUCACCUGUCAUAAUAUUAAUAAAAAUACAGCACUAACUGACAUAUAUUACAUGUGUGAGUGGGAGGAGCAAAAAGACAAUACACAAUAAACAAUGCACAAUUACACAUCCUCAGGGGAGACACCGGAGAAAGUCUGAACAACCUUAAACUCGAUCUAAUAACGUGGACGGUCAAAGACGUGGACCAUAAAUAGGCCCUUCACAAUAAAGUCAGAUUUCACACAGAUGGCAGUAGAAGGAAGUCAGUGGUCACAUAAAGUAGCUGGGGUAAAAACACGGAGACACAAAAGCCGAGACUGGAAGUGAUACGAGCAUGUCAACUGUCUCUAAGCUGAGUCUUGGGAAGGACUGUUUACAGCUGCUAUAAUGUGUGCGUACCUGAGUAGCAGAGGGUCAGAGUGCGUUAGUUUUGCCUGCAAGAUGUGUCGCUACACGCCGCGGCUGCUUAUCGCACCUCAGUCGAGAUACGGACCCUCGGGGCAUCAGUAACAAGACGACGGCUGCUCCUCCUCCUACGCACGGAGACAUGACAGGCAAGGCCUCGUCCUAACACGGCGUUAACUCGCCAGAAAUAUCUGCGAGGGGGCAUUAAAUCUCUAUGUUCGAGGUACAUUUAAUCUCAGCCCUACCUGCAGGCCAGACGUGAGUCAUGCUGUACUGACAGAAUACAAGCGCAGACUGGUAAUGUUGACACUUUUUAUACCUAGUAUUAGGCAAGCAAAUUACAACUGUGAUGUAUUUACUGCGACGAUUAAAGGCCCUUCGCCAAAAGUAGCCUAGAGUAACAGAGUUUACCUGAACGAGACCCUCAAACCCUUUGGCAUCUGGAGCGACUUUAACGUACGGUAAAAGAAAGUACUUUCUAUAUUGUGGAGCAGCAUUUCUUUAAUAAAGUUAACCUUGUAAAUCUGUUCACAAGGGGUCCAGAGAUGUUCUGGAAACUAAUAAAUGUUUUAUUAAACUGAUUGUGAGAGAGUUUCUCGCUCAUCGUCUACCUGACAGCUGAUUACUGAGAUACUGAUCCUGAGACAUCUCCAGUUAGACUCUGUGGUACUCAGGAGAUCCGAAGUCCAUGAACCUUACACCAAUACAACAUUUAUCUGACUGUAUAUUACAAUCACACCCCCAGUGU